rnacentral:rRNA from 1 species
AUUGAACGCUGGCGGCAUGCUUUACACAUGCAAGUCGAACGGCAGCGCGGGCUUCGGCCUGGCGGCGAGUGGCGAACGGGUGAGUAAUACAUCGGAACGUGCCCAGUAGUGGGGGAUAGCUCGGCGAAAGCCGGAUUAAUACCGCAUACGACCUGAGGGUGAAAGCGGGGGAUCUUCGGACCUCGCGCUAUUGGAGCGGCCGAUGGCAGAUUAGCUAGUUGGUGGGGUAAAGGCCUACCAAGGCGACGAUCUGUAGCUGGCCUGAGAGGACGACCAGCCACACUGGGACUGAGACACGGCCCAGACUCCUACGGGAGGCAGCAGUGGGGGAUUUUGGACAAUGGGCGAAAGCCUGAUCCAGCAAUGCCGCGUGUGUGAUGAAGGCCUUCGGGUUGUAAAGCACUUUUGGCGGGAACGAAAAGGACUGUGCCAAUACCACGGUUCGAUGACGGUACCCGCAGAAUAAGCACCGGCUAACUACGUG